GACGAACGCUGGCGGCGUGCCUAAUACAUGCAAGUCGAACGCUUCUUUCCUCCCGAGUGCUUGCACUCAAUUGGAAAGAGGAGUGGCGGACGGGUGAGUAACACGUGGGUAACCUACCCAUCAGAGGGGGAUAACACUUGGAAACAGGUGCUAAUACCGCAUAACAGUUUAUGCCGCAUGGCAUAAGAGUGAAAGGCGCUUUCGGGUGUCGCCGAUGGAUGGACCCGCGGUGCAUUAGCUAGUUGGUGAGGUAACGGCUCACCAAGGCCACGAUGCAUAGCCGACCUGAGAGGGUGAUCGGCCACACUGGGACUGAGACACGGCCCAGACUCCUACGGGAGGCAGCAGUAGGGAAUCUUCGGCAAAGGACGAAAGUCUGACCGAGCAACGCCGCGUGAGUGAAGAAGGUUUUCGGAUCGUAAAACUCUGUUGUUAGAGAAGAACAAGGACGUUAGUAACUGAACGUCCCCUGACGGUAACUAACCAGAAAGCCACGGCUAACUACGUG
rnacentral:rRNA from 1 species